rnacentral:rRNA from 1 species
UACGUAGGUGACCAGCGUUGUCCGGAUUUACUGGGCGUAAAGAGCGCGCAGGCGGUCGUUCAAGUCGAGUGUGAAAGCCCCCGGCUCAACUGGGGAGGGUCACUCGAUACUGAUCGACUGGAAGGCAGGAGAGGGAAGCGGAAUUCCCGGUGUAGUGGUGAAAUUCGUAGAUAUUCGGAAGAACACCAGUGGCGAAGGCGGCUCACUGGACCGGUAUUGACGCUGAGGUGCGAAAGCGUGGGGAGCAAACAGG